CGGGCGGCAGGGAGGGCACCGUGGAGGGCGGCUGGAGGUGCCGUCCGCGCCUGGAGAUCCUUCUGCUGGGGCGAUGCCACUCGCUGGCUGAAUUCGGCAUCUCUGCAGUACCUCUGACCGUAUUUGCAAAAUCCUAGCCGGGGGAUCGCUAGGGCUGCUCACUCACAUCUUCCAACACGUGUCCCCGGAACCACAAGGAGUCUUCUGAAGCCUGACCAUCUGUGACUACCUUUUAAAAGUAAACUUCAGGGGCGCCUGGGUGGCUCGGUCGGUUAAGCGUCCGACUUCGGCUCAGGUCGUGAUCUCGCGGUUCGUGGGCUCGAGCCCCGCGUCGGGCUCUGUGCGGACAGCCCGGAGCCCGGGGCCCGCUUCCCAUUCUGGGUCUCCCUCUCCCUCUGCCCCUCCCCUGCUUGUGCUCUGUCUCUCUC